rfam:Streptomyces sp. 13-12-16 NODE_316_length_21491_cov_32.707970, whole genome shotgun sequence.
CUUCAGCGAGCCGAGCCACAGGGGCUCUUCACGGUUCUGCCCGUAGGUGGCGAGCAGGGCCUGCGCCUC